rnacentral:Y_RNA from 1 species
GGCUGGUCCAAAGGUAGUGAGUUAUCUCAAUUGAUUGUUCACAGUCAGUUACAGAUCGAACUCCUUGUUCUACUCUUUCCCCUCUUCUCACUACUGCACUUGACUAGUCUUUA